AGAGUUUGAUCACUGGCUCAGAUUGAACGCUGGCGGCAUGCCUUACACAUGCAAGUCGAACGGCAGCACGGGAGCAAUCCUGGUGGCGAGUGGCGAACGGGUGAGUAAUAUAUCGGAACGUGCCCAGUCGUGGGGGAUAACGCAGCGAAAGCUGUGCUAAUACCGCAUACGAUCUAUGGAUGAAAGCGGGGGACUCAGCAAUGGGCCUCGCGCGAUUGGAGCGGCCGAUAUCAGAUUAGCUAGUUGGUGGGGUAAAAGCCCACCAAGGCGACGAUCUGUAGCUGGUCUGAGAGGACGACCAGCCACACUGGAACUGAGACACGGUCCAGACUCCUACGGGAGGCAGCAGUGGGGAAUUUUGGACAAUGGGCGAAAGCCUGAUCCAGCAAUGCCGCGUGCAGGAUGAAGGCCUUCGGGUUGUAAACUGCUUUUGUACGGAGCGAAACGGUCUCUUCUAAUAAAGGGGGCUAAUGACGGUACCGUAAGAAUAAGCACCGGCUAACUACGUGCCAGCAGCCGCGGUAAUACGUAGGGCGCAAGCGUUAAUCGGAAUUACUGGGCGUAAAGCGUGCGCAGGCGGUUAUAUAAGACAGAUGUGAAAUCCCCGGGCUCAACCUGGGACCUGCAUUUGUGACUGUAUAGCUAGAGUACGGUAGAGGGGGAUGGAAUUCCGCGUGUAGCAGUGAAAUGCGUAGAUAUGCGGAGGAACACCGAUGGCGAAGGCAAUCCCCUGGACCUGUACUGACGCUCAUGCACGAAAGCGUGGGGAGCAAACAGGAUUAGAUACCCUGGUAGUCCACGCCCUAAACGAUGUCAACUGGUUGUUGGGUCUUCACUGACUCAGUAACGAAGCUAACGCGUGAAGUUGA
rnacentral:rRNA from 1 species